rnacentral:rRNA from 1 species
CCCUUAGAUUUCCUGGGCUGCACGCGCGCUACACUGAUGUGUCCAGUAAGCACCUAACCUCUUCCGAAAGGAACGGGUAACCUUUGCAAAGCACAUCGUGAUGGGGAUAGAUUAUUGCAAUUAUUAGUCUUGAACGAGGAAUUCCUAGUAAGCACAAGUCAUCAGCUUGUGUUGAUUACGUCCCUGCCCUUUGUACACACCGCCCGUCGCUCCUACCGAUUGAAUGUUCCGGUGAGCUCUUCGGACUGCGCGGUCUGCAGUUUCUGCGUUCCGUGCGGAAAGUUGCGCAAACCUUAACAUUUAGAGGAAGGAGAAGUCGUAACA